AGAGAUUGAUCCUGGCUCAGGACGAACGCUGGCGGCGUGCCUAAUACAUGCAAGUCGAACGAAGCUUUCUUUCACCGAAUGCUUGCAUUCACCGAAAGAAGCUUAGUGGCGAACGGGUAGUAACACGUAGGCAACCUGCCCAAAAGAGGGGGAUAACACUUGGAAACAGGUGCUAAUACCGCAUAACCAUGAACACCGCAUUAUGUUCGUGUAAAAGACGGCUUUUGCUGUCACUUUUGGAUGGGCCUGCGGCGUAUUAACUUGUUGGUGGGGUAACGGCCUACCAAGGUGAUGAUACGUAGCCGAACUGAGAGGUUGAUCGGCCACAUUGGGACUGAGACACGGCCCAAACUCCUACGGGAGGCAGCAGUAGGGAAUCUUCCACAAUGGACGAAAGUCUGAUGGAGCAACGCCGCGUGAAUGAAGAAGGCCUUCGGGUCGUAAAAUUCUGUUGUCAGAGAAGAAUGUGCGUGAGAGUAACUGUUCACGUAUUGACGGUAUCUGACCAGAAAGCCACGGCUAACUACGUGCCAGCAGCCGCGGUAAUACGUAGGUGGCAAGCGUUGUCCGGAUUUAUUGGGCGUAAAGGGAACGCAGGCGGUCUUUUAAGUCUGAUGUGAAAGCCUUCGGCUUAACCGAAGUAGUGCAUUGGAAACUGGAAGACUUGAGUGCAGAAGAGGAGAGUGGAACUCCAUGUGUAGCGGUGAAAUGCGUAGAUAUAUGGAAGAACACCAGUGGCGAAAGCGGCUCUCUGGUCUGUAACUGACGCUGAGGUUCGAAAGCGUGGGUAGCAAACAGGAUUAGAUACCCUGGUAGUCCACGCCGUAAACGAUGAGUGCUAAGUGUUGGAGGGUUUCCGCCCUUCAGUGCUGCAGCUAACGCAUUAAGCACUCCGCCUGGUGAGUACGGUCGCAAGACUGAAACUCAAAGGAAUUGACGGGGGCCCGCACAAGCGGUGGAGCAUGUGGUUUAAUCCGAAGCAACGCGAAGAACCUUACCAGGUCUUGACAUCUUCUGACAAUUCCAGAGAUGGAACGUUCCCUUCGGGGACAGAAUGACAGGUGGUGCAUGGUUGUCGUCAGCUCGUGUCGUGAGAUGUUGGGUUAAGUCCCGCAACGAGCGCAACCCUUAUUGUCAGUUGCCAUCAUUAAGUUGGGCACUCUGGCGAGACUGCCGGUGACAAACCGGAGGAAGGUGGGGAUGACGUCAAAUCAUCAUGCCCCUUAUGACCUGGGCUACACACGUGCUACAAUGGACGGUACAACGAGUCGCUAACUCGCGAGGGCAAGCUAAUCUCUUAAAGCCGUUCUCAGUUCGGAUUGCAGGCUGCAACUCGCCUGCAUGAAGUCGGAAUCGCUAGUAAUCGCGAAUCAGCAUGUCGCGGUGAAUACGUUCCCGGGCCUUGUACACACCGCCCGUCACACCAUGAGAGUUUGUAACACCCAAAGUCGGUGGGGUAACCUUUUGGAGCCAGCCGCCUAAGGUGGGACAGAUGAUUGGGGUGAAGUCGCAACAAGGUA
rnacentral:rRNA from 1 species